rnacentral:rRNA from 1 species
UACGGGGGGGGCAAGCGUUGUCCGGAAUUACUGGGCGUAAAGGGCGCGUAGGCGGCCUGCUAAGUCGGAUGUGAGAUCCCUCGGCUCAACCGAGGAACUGCAUCCGAUACUGGCGGGCUUGAAUCCGGGAGAGGGAUGUGGAAUUCCAGGUGUAGCGGUGAAAUGCGUAGAUAUCUGGAGGAACACCGGUGGCGAAGGCGGCAUCCUGGACCGGUAUUGACGCUGAGGAGCGAAAGCCAGGGGAGCAAACGGG